rnacentral:rRNA from 1 species
UAGACCGAUAGCGAACAAGUAGAGUGAUCGAAAGAUGAAAAGCACUUUGAAAAGAGAGUUAAAAAGCACGUGAAAUGUUGAAAGGGAAGCGCUUGCGACCAGACUCGCUCGCGGGGUUCAGCCGGCAUUCGUGCCGGUGUACUUCCCCGCGGGCGGGCCAGCGUCGGUUUGGGCGGUCGGUCAAAGGCCCUCGGAAGGUAACGCCCCUAGGGGCGUCUUAUAGCCGAGGGUGCAAUGCGACCUGCCUAGACCGAGGAACGCGCUUCGGCUCGGACGCUGGCAUAUGGUCGUAAACGACCCGUCUUGAAACACGGACCAAGACUUUA